GACGAACGCUGGCGGCGUGCUUAACACAUGCAAGUCGAACGGAAAGGCCCUGCUUUUGUGGGGUGCUCGAGUGGCGAACGGGUGAGUAACACGUGAGUAACCUGCCCUUGACUUUGGGAUAACUUCAGGAAACUGGGGCUAAUACCGGAUAGGAGCUCCUGCUGCAUGGUGGGGGUUGGAAAGUUUCGGCGGUUGGGGAUGGACUCGCGGCUUAUCAGCUUGUUGGUGGGGUAGUGGCUUACCAAGGCUUUGACGGGUAGCCGGCCUGAGAGGGUGACCGGCAACAGUGGGACUGAGAUACGGCCCAGAGUCGUACGGGAGGCAGCAGUGGGGAAUAUUGCACAAUGGGCGGAAGCCUGAUGCAGCAACGCCGCGUGCGGGAUGACGGCCUUCGGGUUGUAAACCGCUUUCGCCUGUGACGAAGCGUGAGUGACGGUAAUGGGUAAAGAAGCACCGGCUAACUACGUG
rnacentral:rRNA from 1 species